UUAAGCGACUAAGCGUACACGGUGGAUGCCCUGGCAGUCAGAGGCGAUGAAGGACGUGCUAAUCUGCGAUAAGCGCCGGUAAGGUGAUAUGAACCGUUAUAACCGGCGAUACCCGAAUGGGGAAACCCAGUGUGAUUCGUCACACUAUCAUUAACUGAAUCCAUAGGUUAAUGAGGCGAACCGGGGGAACUGAAACAUCUAAGUACCCCGAGGAAAAGAAAUCAACCGAGAUUCCCCCAGUAGCGGCGAGCGAACGGGGGGGGGGCCAGAGCCUGAAUCAGCAUGGGUGUUAGUGGAAGCGUCUGGAAAGGCGCGCGAUACAGGGUGACAGCCCCGUACACAAAAGCGCAUGUGCUGUGAGCUCGAUGAGUAGGGCGGGACACGUGGUAUCCUGUCUGAAUAUGGGGGGACCAUCCUCCAAGGCUAAAUACUCCUGACUGACCGAUAGUGAACCAGUACCGUGAGGGAAAGGCGAAAAGAACCCCGGCGAGGGGAGUGAAAAAGAACCUGAAACCGUGUACGUACAAGCAGUGGGAGCACCCUUCGGGGUGUGACUGCGUACCUUUUGUAUAAUGGGUCAGCGACUUAUAUUCUGUAGCAAGGUUAACCGUAUAGGGGAGCCGGAGGGAAACCGAGUCUUAACCGGGCGUUAAGUUGCAGGGUAUAGACCCGAAACCCGGUGAUCUAGCCAUGGGCAGGUUGAAGGUUGGGUAACACUAACUGGAGGACCGAACCGACUAAUGUUGAAAAAUUAGCGGAUGACCUGUGGCUGGGGGUGAAAGGCCAAUCAAACCGGGAGAUAGCUGGUUCUCCCCGAAAGCUAUUUAGGUAGCGCCUCGUGAAUUCAUCUCCGGGGGUAGAGCACUGUUUCGGCUAGGGGGCCAUCCCGGCUUACCAACCCGAUGCAAACUGCGAAUACCGGAGAAUGUUAUCACGGGAGACACACGGCGGGUGCUAACGUCCGUCGUGAAGAGGGAAACAACCCAGACCGCCAGCUAAGGUCCCAAAGUCAUGGUUAAGUGGGAAACGAUGUGGGAAGGCCCAGACAGCCAGGAUGUUGGCUUAGAAGCAGCCAUCAUUUAAAGAAAGCGUAAUAGCUCACUGGUCGAGUCGGCCUGCGCGGAAGAUGUAACGGGGCUAAACCAUGCACCGAAGCUGCGGCAGCGAACGUAUCACCCAAGACAACUUUACGGAGUUGACGAUUGACGGAGCGAAGCGACGUCAAAGCGUUCAUUAAAGUCGAGUUGGCUUAGGGAUACGUUCGUUGGGUAGGGGAGCGUUCUGUAAGCCUGUGAAGGUGUGUCGUGAGGCAUGCUGGAGGUAUCAGAAGUGCGAAUGCUGACAUAAGUAACGAUAAAGCGGGUGAAAAGCCCGCUCGCCGGAAGACCAAGGGUUCCUGUCCAACGUUAAUCGGGGCAGGGUGAGUCGACCCCUAAGGCGAGGCCGAAAGGCGUAGUCGAUGGGAAACGGGUUAAUAUUCCCGUACUUGGUGUUACUGCGAAGGGGGGACGGAGAAGGCUAUGUUGGCCGGGCGACGGUUGUCCCGGUUUAAGCGUGUAGGUGUGUGUUCCAGGUAAAUCCGGUUCACUUUAACACUGAGGCGUGACGACGAGGCACUACGGUGCUGAAGCAACAAAUGCCCUGCUUCCAGGAAAAGCCUCUAAGCAUCAGGUAACACGAAAUCGUACCCCAAACCGACACAGGUGGUCAGGUAGAGAAUACCAAGGCGCUUGAGAGAACUCGGGUGAAGGAACUAGGCAAAAUGGUGCCGUAACUUCGGGAGAAGGCACGCUGACACGUAGGUGAAGUGAUUUACUCAUGGAGCUGAAGUCAGUCGAAGAUACCAGCUGGCUGCAACUGUUUAUUAAAAACACAGCACUGUGCAAACACGAAAGUGGACGUAUACGGUGUGACGCCUGCCCGGUGCCGGAAGGUUAAUUGAUGGGGUCAGCGCAAGCGAAGCUCCUGAUCGAAGCCCCGGUAAACGGCGGCCGUAACUAUAACGGUCCUAAGGUAGCGAAAUUCCUUGUCGGGUAAGUUCCGACCUGCACGAAUGGCGUAAUGAUGGCCAGGCUGUCUCCACCCGAGACUCAGUGAAAUUGAACUCGCUGUGAAGAUGCAGUGUACCCGCGGCAAGACGGAAAGACCCCGUGAACCUUUACUAUAGCUUGACACUGAACAUUGAGCCUUGAUGUGUAGGAUAGGUGGGAGGCUUUGAAGUGUGGACGCCAGUCUGCAUGGAGCCGACCUUGAAAUACCACCCUUUAAUGUUUGAUGUUCUAACGUGGACCCGUAAUCCGGGUUGCGGACAGUGUCUGGUGGGUAGUUUGACUGGGGCGGUCUCCUCCUAAAGAGUAACGGAGGAGCACGAAGGUUGGCUAAUCCUGGUCGGACAUCAGGAGGUUAGUGCAAUGGCAUAAGCCAGCUUGACUGCGAGCGUGACGGCGCGAGCAGGUGCGAAAGCAGGUCAUAGUGAUCCGGUGGUUCUGAAUGGAAGGGCCAUCGCUCAACGGAUAAAAGGUACUCCGGGGAUAACAGGCUGAUACCGCCCAAGAGUUCAUAUCGACGGCGGUGUUUGGCACCUCGAUGUCGGCUCAUCACAUCCUGGGGCUGAAGUAGGUCCCAAGGGUAUGGCUGUUCGCCAUUUAAAGUGGUACGCGAGCUGGGUUUAGAACGUCGUGAGACAGUUCGGUCCCUAUCUGCCGUGGGCGCUGGAGAACUGAGGGGGGCUGCUCCUAGUACGAGAGGACCGGAGUGGACGCAUCACUGGUGUUCGGGUUGUCAUGCCAAUGGCACUGCCCGGUAGCUAAAUGCGGAAGAGAUAAGUGCUGAAAGCAUCUAAGCACGAAACUUGCCCCGAGAUGAGUUCUCCCUGAGACUUAGAGUCUCCUGAAGGAACGUUGAAGACGACGACGUUGAUAGGCCGGGUGUGUAAGCGCAGCGAUGCGUUGAGCUAACCGGUACUAAUGAACCGUGAGGCUUAACCUU
rnacentral:rRNA from 1 species